GUGCUUACUUUAACAGCACAUAGAGUAAACUUGGAAGGAUACAGAGAAAAAUUAGCAUGGCCUCUAGGCAAGGAUAAGAAGCAAAUUAGUAAAGCAUUACAGAUUUUU